GACGAACGCUGGCGGCGUGCUUAACACAUGCAAGUCGAACGGAAAGGCCCUGCUUUUGUGGGGUGCUCGAGUGGCGAACGGGUGAGUAACACGUGAGUAACCCGCCCUUGAAUUUGGGAUAACUUCAGGAAACUGGGGCUAAUACCGGAUAGGAGCUCCUGCUGCACGGUGGGGGUUGGAAAGUUUCGGCUGUUGGGGAUGGACUCGCGGCUUAUCAGCUUGUUGGUGGGGUAGUGGCUUACCAAGGCUUUGACGGGUAGCCGGCCUGAGAGGGUGGCCGGCCACCUUGGGACUGCGGUAGGGACCAGACUGCUACGUGACGCAGCGGGGGGAAACAUGACGCAGUGAGCGGGAGCCUGAUGCAACGACGCCGCGUGCGGGAUGACGGCCUUCGGGUUGUAAACCGCUUUCGCCUGUGACGUAGCCUGAGUGACGGUACUGGGUAAAGAAGCACCGGCUAACUACGUG
rnacentral:rRNA from 1 species